rnacentral:rRNA from 1 species
GUGGGGAAUUUUGGACAAUGGGCGCAAGCCUGAUCCAGCAAUGCCGCGUGCAGGAAGAAGGCCUUCGGGUUGUAAACUGCUUUUGUACGGAACGAAACGGUCCGGGUUAAUACCCUGGGCUAAUGACGGUACCGUAAGAAUAAGCACCGGCUAACUACGUGCCAGCAGCCGCGGUAAUACGUAGGGUGCAAGCGUUAAUCGGAAUUACUGGGCGUAAAGCGUGCGCAGGCGGUUUUGUAAGACAGGCGUGAAAUCCCCGGGCUCAACCUGGGAAUUGCGCUUGUGACUGCAAGGCUGGAGGGCGGCAGAGGGGGAUGGAAUUCCGCGUGUAGCAGUGAAAUGCGUAGAUAUGCGGAGGAACACCGAUGGCGAAGGCAAUCCCCUGGGCCUGCACUGACGCUCAUGCACGAAAGCGUGGGGAGCAAACAGGAUUAGAAACCCGGGUAGUCC